GGUAGAGCCACUGCCGGAAGUGACUGAAGGCAAAUCGGCGUUCGCCGAGCCUGGGAGAGUUUAGGGUGGCUGUGCUAGUUGCUGCUGUAGGCUUGCAAGAUGCCAGGUCUGGCGGCCGCAAGCCCUGCCCCGGCUGAGUCACAGGAGAAGAAGCCUCUGAAGCCCUGCUGCGCCUGUCCGGAGACCAAGAAGGCGCGCGAUGCUUGCAUCAUUGAGAAAGGAGAAGAGCACUGUGGACACCUAAUUGAGGCCCACAAGGAAUGCAUGAGAGCCCUAGGAUUUAAGAUAUGAAAUGCAUACUACUGCUUUUGGAAGAGGAACAGGUGUUUGGAUCUGCUUUGGUCCCAGGUGGUUUACUCUGUGAAUGAAUAAUUCCUGAAGAAUGAAGAAGAUUCAGUAAUUUUGGGAAUUUGUGGAACUUUGAUAAAUGGAAAAAGUAUUUAUAACUUAUUUUUAGAAAAAGGAAAUUAUCUCUGGUCAGAAA